AGAACGAACGCUGGCGGCAUGCCUAACACAUGCAAGUCGAACGAGACCUUCGGGUCUAGUGGCGCACGGGUGCGUAACGCGUGGGAAUCUGCCCUUGGGUACGGAAUAACAGCUAGAAAUGACUGCUAAUACCGUAUAAUGACUUCGGUCCAAAGAUUUAUCGCCCAGGGAUGAGCCCGCGUAGGAUUAGCUUGUUGGUGAGGUAAAAGCUCACCAAGGCGACGAUCCUUAGCUGGUCUGAGAGGAUGAUCAGCCACACUGGGACUGAGACACGGCCCAGACUCCUACGGGAGGCAGCAGUGGGGAAUAUUGGACAAUGGGCGAAAGCCUGAUCCAGCAAUGCCGCGUGAGUGAUGAAGGCCUUAGGGUUGUAAAGCUCUUUACCCGGGAUGAUAAUGACAGUACCGGGAGAAUAAGCUCCGGCUAACUCCGUGCCAGCAGCCGC
rnacentral:rRNA from 1 species